CCUACGGGUGGCAGCAGUGAGGAAUAUUGGUCAAUGGACGCAAGUCUGAACCAGCCAUGCCGCGUGCAGGAAGACGGCCCUAUGAGUUGUAAACUGCUUUUGUACGAGGGUAAACGCAGAUACGCGUAUCUGUCUGAAAGUAUCGUACGAAUAAGGAUCGGCUAACUCCGUGCCAGCAGCCGCGGUAAUACGGAGGAUUCAAGCGUUAUCCGGAUUUAUUGGGUUUAAAGGGUGCGUAGGCGGUCGGAUAAGUUAGAGGUGAAAUCCCGAGGCUCAACUUCGGAAUUGCCUCUGAUACUGUUAGGCUAGAGAGUAGUUGCGGUAGGCGGAAUGUAUGGUGUAGCGGUGAAAUGCUUAGAGAUCAUACAGAACACCGAUUGCGUAGGCAGCUUACCAAGCUACAUCUGACGUUGAGGCACGAAAGCGUGGGGAGCAAACAGGAUUAGAUACCCGUGUAGUC
rnacentral:rRNA from 1 species